rnacentral:tRNA from 1 species
GCUUUAGUAGUUUAACGGUUAAAACCCCGACCUCAUAUGUUGGUAAUGGAAGUUCGAUUCUCCCCUAAAGCU